CAGGGAGACAACAAAAUGUUUAAUAUUAUUAUUUUGUCACCUUAGGUCGAUCGGUAUCUCACGUUCUUAAUUUGUUAAGAAUUUCAUUUCCUAAGUUUUUCUAGGUCACACCCAUUAUUUUUCCUGGGCCAUUAGCUCAGGUGGUUAGAGCGCACCCCUGAUAAGGGUGAGGUCCCUGGUUCAAGUCCAGGAUGGCCCAUAUCUCUAUGUUGGGGGUAUAGCUCAGUUGGUAGAGCGCCUGCUUUGCAAGCAGGAUGUCAGCGGUUCGAGUCCGCUUACCUCCACUGAUUACCACCUCUUCCAUAAUCGGCAGAAAGGAAAUGUUUUGAGUUGUGAUCAUUAUUCUGAACGAAUCUAGCUUCCUAAUGAAAUCAUUAAGAUGCUGGACUCAUUGAAUUAAUUUCAUUGUUUUCAGAGAACCUUGACAACUGCAUAGAUUAUUUUUAAAGACAAUAAGCAUCUUUAAUGAUGCAGAUUUAUUAUUUGUGCGAAUGCAUUAAUAACAAUUCUAUUAAGCUGAUGCUUCAAUUUUUGAAGUUAUU
rnacentral:tRNA from 1 species